rnacentral:rRNA from 1 species
CAGUCGCCGCGGUAAUACGUAGGUGGCAAGCGUUGUCCGGAAUUAUUGGGCGUAAAGCGCGCGCAGGCGGAUCAGUCAGUCUGUCUUAAAAGUUCGGGGCUUAACCCCGUGAUGGGAUGGAAACUGCUGAUCUAGAGUAUCGGAGAGGAAAGUGGAAUUCCUAGUGUAGCGGUGAAAUGCGUAGAUAUUAGGAAGAACACCAGUGGCGAAGGCGACUUUCUGGACGAAAACUGACGCUGAGAGACGAAAGCUAGGGGAGCAAAUGGGAUUAGAUACCCCUGUAGUCCCUGUCUCUUAUACA